rnacentral:rRNA from 1 species
UACGGAAGGGCAGCAGUGGGGAAUAUUGGACAAUGGGCGAAAGCCUGAUCCAGCCAUGCCGCAUGAGUGAAGAAGGCCUUCGGGUUGUAAAGCUCUUUUAGUGAGAAAGAUAAUGACGGUACUCACAGAAGAAGUCCUGGCUAACUCCGUGCCAGCAGCCGCGGUAAUACGGAGAGGGCUAGCGUUAUUCGGAAUUAUUGGGCGUAAAGAGCGCGUAGGCUGAUUAGUAAGUUAAAAGUGAAAUCCCAAAGCUUAACUUUGGAAUUGCUUUUUAAAACUGCUAGUCUAGAGAUUUGAAAGAGGAUAGAGGAAUUCCUAGUGUAGAGGUGAAAUUCGUAAAUAUUAGGAGGAACACCAGUGGCGAAGGCGUCUAUCUGGUUCAAAUCUGACGCUGAGGCGCGAAGGGCGUGGGGAGCAAACAGGGAUUAGAUACC